CCUACGGGAGGCUGCAGUCGAGAAUUUUUCUCAAUGGGGGAAACCCUGAAGGAGCGACGCCGCGUGGAGGAUGAAGGUCUUCGGAUUGUAAACUCCUGUCAUUUGGGAACAAUUGUUCCGCGUUAACUGCGCGGGGCUUGAUAGUACCAGAAGAGGAAGGGACGGCUAACUCUGUGCCAGCAGCCGCGGUAAUACAGAGGUCCCGAGCGUUGUUCGGAUUCAUUGGGCGUAAAGGGUGCGUAGGCGGCGGGGCAAGUCGGAUGUGAAAUCCCGGGGCUCAACCCUGGAACUGCAUUCGAUACUGCCUUGCUAGAGUACUGGAGAGGGAACUGGAAUUUACGGUGUAGCAGUGAAAUGCGUAGAUAUCGUAAGGAAGACCAGUGGCGAAGGCGAGUUCCUGGACAGUUACUGACGCUGAGGCACGAAGGCCAGGGGAGCAA
rnacentral:rRNA from 1 species